ACUAAGUUCUUUAUCAUUUGACCGAGUUAUAAAGGUAGAUUGUGAUCAACUGUUCAAUAUAUUUGAUGACAUUUCACAAUUUGGUCACAUUCAUUCCUUAUUUCCUCUUAAAAAAAGAACAUGAC
rnacentral:pre_miRNA from 1 species